rnacentral:rRNA from 1 species
UGGCGGACGGGUGAGUAAUGUCUAGGGAAACUGCCCGAUGGGGGGGGAUAACUACUGGAAACGGUAGCUAAUACCGCAUAACGUCGCAAGACCAAAGAGGGGGACCUUCGGGCCUCUUGCCAUCGGAUGUGCCCAGAUGGGAUUAGCUAGUAGGUGGGGUAACGGCUCACCUAGGCGACGAUCCCUAGCUGGUCUGAGAGGAUGACCAGCCACACUGGAACUGAGACACGGUCCAG